GUCCCCUACUGCGAUCAAGGCGCUGGGCCGUUGGUCGUCUGGCGCAUACGCUUCCUGCAUUUGCCUCACUCCUCAUCACGUCGUUGAAGCAUGCUAUAUCUGGUCACGAUUCCGGCUCUCUACCUACUGUCAUAAUCUAAGUUUUCAGCGCUCUCCUGACCAAGGUGCAUCUACCAAUCAAAUCAUAACGCUCUGCUGUCUCUCUGCUCUCAGCGCAUCCGCGCCAUGUCUUCUCGCAUAGCCUAAGAUGGUGUCUCCUUGUAAGCGGUAGGUGAGUUCACUUCUAAUCUCUAUUUUGGGGCAGGCUACGCCCGCCUCCAUCUCCGCUGGAGGAUAUGCUGUCCUACCCCGGAGUUCAACGCGAAGACGGGAACCUUCGCCAAACAGAUUCAUGCAUUUUGUGUCAAGUGUAAUUGUUCGCCAAACGGAUUCAUGCAUUUUUGUAUCAUGUCUAUUGUUCAAUAAAUGUUAAUAACGUUCAUUUGCCUCUCGAGUCUUCAUGGUAGAAAUGGGAGCUUGCGUAAAUUCUACCAGGGAGACUCGAAUUUCUCGGCUGUCAAACUUACUAGGCUAACCAUCCAAUCUCCCUUUUGACAGA